AACAGGCUUAUCUCCCCCAAGAGUCCACAUCGACGGGGAGGUUUGGCACCUCGAUGUCGGCUCAUCACAUCCUGGGGCUGUAGUAGGUCCCAAGGGUUGGGCUGUUCGCCCAUUAAAGUGGUACGCGAGCUGGGUUCAGAACGUCGUGAGACAGUUCGGUCCCUAUCCGUCGCAGGCGUAGGAAAUUUGAGAAGACCUGUCCUUAGUACGAGAGGACCGGGAUGGACGUACCUCUGGUGUACCAGUUGUUCUGCCAAGGGCAUGGCUGGGUAGCUAUGUACGGAAUGGAUAAGCGCUGAAAGCAUCUAAGCGCGAAGCCAACUUCAAGAUAAGAUUUCCCACCGCAAGGGUAAGACCCCAGAAAGACUAUCUGGUUGAUAGGUCGAAGGUGUAAGUGCAGCAAUGUAUUUAGCUUAUCGAUACUAAUAGGUCGAGGACUUGACCAAU
rnacentral:rRNA from 1 species